UCUGUAGCCAGCUCAGUUGGUUAGAGCGCUGCACCGGAAACGCAGGGCCGCAGGUUCGAUCCCUGCCAGAA
rnacentral:tRNA from 1 species